GAUGAAGAACGUAGCGAAAUGCGAUAAGUAAUGUGAAUUGCAGAAUCCAGUGAAUCAUCGAAUCUUUGAACGCACAUUGCGCCCGCCAGCAUUCUGGCGGGCAUGCCUGUUCGAGCGUCAUUUCAACCCUCGACCUCCCCUUGGGGAGGUCGGCGUUGGGGACCGGCAGCACACCGCCGGCCCUGAAAUGGAGUGGCGGCCCGUCCGCGGCGACCUCUGCGUAGUAAUACAGCUCGCACCGGAACCCCGACGCGGCCACGCCGUAAAACACCCAACUUCUGAACGUUGACCUCGAAUCAGGUAGGACUACCCGCUGAACUUAAGCAUAUCAAUAGCGGAGGA
rnacentral:misc_RNA from 1 species